CACAAUAAAAUCACUGGAAAACAACUAACAUUUUUCACAAUUUGAAAAAUUCGUGUCAAUUUUCCCAAUUUCGCGUCAAUUUUUCCAAAUCUAACCCAGUUGAGUAAUGUUUGAAAACAUUUUUUGCUAUGUGAUGCAUAUGCCAUUACAGGACCGUAUAAACACUUAAAUGUGAACAUAAGAAUUUCAAUCCCCAACUUUGUUGUUUUAAGGGGUUCCCUGUACAAAUUAUGGAAAAAAUUCAAUUGAAGCCUUUAAAAUCCGGAAAAUUUUGCCCCUUCAAUAGAAAUGAUUGGGAAGAUUUGGAGAGGAAGUUUAAUUGCCAGAACCUGGAGUUGUAUCACUGUAUUCCGAACCAAGAUAACAAACCAUAUGAGGUCUGUGUCGAACCAAAGUGGGCAACAAGAAAUUUCUGUUCAAUUUUUAAUAACAUGGCCGCCGAUUAAAUUGACAAAGUACCCUGUGACCUUCAGUAUGGAGCAUGCCCAGACACUGACUACAGAUCUAAUAUGGUUUAUUUAUACCCGGGUUGCCUGAACAAAACUCUUAGAAUAUA